rnacentral:rRNA from 1 species
CUACGGGUGGCAGCAGUGAGGAAUAUUGCACAAUGGGGGGAACCCUGAUGCAGCAACGCCGCGUGGAGGAUGACGCAUUUCGGUAUGUAAACUCCUUUUAUAUGUCAAGAAAAUGACGGUAGCAUAUGAAUAAGCACCGGCUAACUCCGUGCCAGUAGCCGCGGUAAUACGGAGGGUGCAAGCGUUACUCGGAAUCACUGGGCGUAAAGGACGCGUAGGCGGGUUGGAAAGUCAGGUGUGAAAUCCUACAGCUUAACUGUAGAACUGCACUUGAAACUUCUAAUCUAGAGUAUGGGAGGGGGAGAUGGAAUUAGUGGUGUAGGGGUAAAAUCCGUAGAUAUCACUAGGAAUACCUAAAGCGAAGGCGAUCUCCUGGAACAUUACUGACGCUAAGGCGUGAAAGCGUGGGGAGCAAACAGGAUUAGAUACCCCAGUAGUC